rnacentral:rRNA from 1 species
AGGGAUCAUUGCUGGAACGCGCCCCAGGCGCACCCAGAAACCCUUUGUGAACUUAUACCUUAUUGUUGCCUCGGCGCAUGCCGGCCCCCAGGGGCCCCUCGGAGACGAGGAGCAGGCACGCCGGCGGCCAAGUUAACUCUUGUUUUUACACUGAAACUCUGAGAAAAAAAAACAAAAUGAAUCAAAACUUUCAACAACGGAUCUCUUGGUUCUGGCAUCGAUGAAGAACGCAGCGAAAUGCGAUAAGUAAUGUGAAUUGCAGAAUUCAGUGAAUCAUCGAAUCUUUGAACGCACAUUGCGCCCUCCGGUAUUCCGGAGGGCAUGCCUGUUCGAGCGUCAUUUCAACCCUCAAGCAUUGCUUGGUGUUGGGGCACUGCCUGUAAAAGGGCAGGCCCUGAAAUUCAGUGGCGAGCUCGCCAGGACCCCGAGCGCAGUAGUUAAACCCUCGCUUUGGAAGGCCCUGGCGGUGCCCUGCCGUUAAACCCCCAACUCUUGAAAAUUUGACCUCGGAUCAGGUAGGAAUACCCGCUGAACUUAA